UACGGAGGAAGCAAGCGUUACUCGGAAUUAUUGGGCGUAAAGGGCGCGUAGGCGAUUUGACAAGUCGGUUGUGAAAGCCCAGGCUUAACCCCGGAAGUGCAACCGAUACUGUUGAAUUUGAGUAUAGGAGAGGAAGGCAGAAUUCCCGGUGUAGCGGUGAAAUGCGUAGAUAUCGGGAGGAAUACCAGCGGCGAAGGCGGCCUUCUGGACU
rnacentral:rRNA from 1 species